rnacentral:tRNA from 1 species
GUUCAGUUGGUAGAGCACGGUGUUUGCAACGCCAGGGUUGUGGGUUCGAUUCCCAC